CAGGCAGUCGUGAGUUCGAUCCCUGGUACCGAUAAAAAGGAAAAAGACAAAAAAAAAAAAAAAAAAAUUAAAAAACAAUGCUGACAUCCUAUGUCCUGUGCAGGCAGGAUGCUGCCACAGCUCCGCCCCACUGCCCGGAACACCCUGGCCUGGGCUGGGGUCUGCAGCUCCACGGGAAAUCUGGGCAGGAACAUCCCACUCUUGGGACCCACUAGUUGUGUGACGGCAUGCAAGCUGCCUCUUCACCCCAAGGCUCGGUUUUUAUAGCGGUAGAGGGGUGAUGAAGGUGGCCCGCACCCGCAGAGCGAAUCACCUAUGUGAUCUCACUGGGUCUUCACAACAACCUCCAAAGACAGGGACUGCUAUUACACCAUUUUACAGAUGAGGGGAACUGAGGCUCCAAGAGUGUAACUUGGCAUGAAAGAAUCUCAGAACUCCGACUCCCACCCAAAUGUGUUUCACCCCAAAGUUUCUGUUUCUUACCUACCAGCAAGACUACUUGCCUUCUGGGCCAAAAGUUUUCACCAAUCUGAGCCCCAACUGUGUUCUCUGCAAAUUAGGCCCUGGGGAGGAUUAAGUGGCCCAGCAAGUGGCAGUACUGUGUCACCUCGUGGGGGCUAAUGCUUCCCUCCCCAGCUCUGCUGCUCUAAGCUGCAGCUCAAACAGGAAACACCAGCUUCCCAAGAUAAGGCCCAGCACCCACCAGGGGAGGGAGAGGACCUGGCUCAGUACCAGGCUCACACUGGGCCGGGUGUGCCAGCCCUGGCCCUUGCCACUGCCCCCUCCCUCUAGGCUUGGGCAGCCCUGGGGAGCCGGCAGUGGUGAUGUCACCCUUGGAGAAUGCCUACUGGAAUUCACCGACUUCUGAUUCUCCACCUCCAGCCAUUCCGACUGCCUCCUCUCACCACCGGUGGGGGCAUCACUGGGAGCUCCGACACUCAGGCUGCUAUGGGCUGCUGUGUGCUAACCAUGCUGGUACUACCAUGGCUGCCUACAGGACAGAACCCUCUGGAGGUGGAGAGACGGACAAGGCCUAACGCAGCCAUGUGGCAAGUGCCUGUUAAAAGUUCUGUGAUCACUGAGUGGCAGGCACCUGCCUUCAUCUGCUGCUCUGACAAAAUAGCAAAGAUGAGGCUUAAGCAAUAGAAAUUUAUUUUCUCGAGGUCAGGAGGCUGAAACACCAAGCUCAGCUGGGCAGUGCUGGCUUCUCCUGAAGCCUCUGUCCUCAGCUCGGGGCUGGCCACCCACUCUCCUGCUAACCUAUAUGGCAUGUUCCUAGUGUCUCUCUGAGUCCAAAUGUCUUCUUAUAAAGGCCACCCAUCAGAUCGGAUUAGGGUGCACCCUCAUGGCCUCAUUUUAACAUAAUCUCUCAUUUAAAACCCCUGUCUCCAGCUGGGCGUGGUGGCUCAUGCCUGUAACAGCAGCACUCAGAAGGUUGAGGCAGGAGGAUCCUUGCAAGUUCCAGACCACCCUCGGCUACAAAGUCAGCUCAACACUAGCCUGAACUGCAUAGCAAGACCCUGUCUCAAAAGGACAAAAACAAAACCCUGUCUCCAAAUAUUGUCACAUUCUAAAGCACAGGGGGGCUGUGGCAUCAACCCCUGCAUGGGCACAGGUCAGCUCGUGACAAAAGUUUACAAAUUUAACAAUAAAAGUGUCAUACAGAUUGCUGGGCUGGUUCCAGUAACUCCAGCAUAUUAACUCUGUUUUGUUUUGGUUUUAUCCUGGAGAUUGUCCCCUGGGCCUUCACAUUAAGC
ensembl:lincRNA